AUGGACCAAUCUUCACUGCAGUGCCGGGUGCGCCGUCCGCACCAUCUGACGGCCGCUCGCUACGCGCUGGUAGUC
rnacentral:sRNA from 2 species